CUUAAACUACAAUUCCCAGGAGGCCUAGCGACACCUCUCGCGCGGCGUGGCGGGAGUGCCCACGGAGGCUACGCUUUCUUCGGCGGCGUGUAGAGGGAGAUUUCCCGCGGAUGGGUAUGGUGGUGAUCAUUGGUGAACAACUUCGUUGCCACAGAAAGGCCUAGAGGCUAUCAUGACAGAUUCUGAAUGACAACUUUCAACUUAGAGCUUUCAAGAAGUCCAGAAUAUUUCAAAGGAAUCUGUGUAUUGGAAUGAGCAAUAGCAAGAUCCAUGUCUGGCGGGCAGAAAUACCAAAAGAAAAUUAAGAGAUAUAACAUGCAGAGCUGCUGGUCUACAGCAAAGAAGACAGUAAUAGUUGAGGACCUUCAAAAUUCUGGGCCACAAUAAAGU